GUCCUACGGGAGGCAGCAGUGGGGAAUAUUGCACAAUGGAGGGAACUCUGAUGCAGCGACGCCGCGUGAGUGAAGAAGUAAUUCGUUAUGUAAAGCUCUAUCAGCAGGGAAGAAAGUGACGGUACCUGAAAAAGAAGCUCCGGCUAAAUACGUGCCAGCAGCCGCGGUAAUACGUAGGGAGCAAGCGUUAUCCGGAUUUACUGGGUGUAAAGGGCGUGUAGGCGGGCCUGCAAGUCAGAAGUGAAAUCUGGGGGCUUAACCCCUAAACUGCUUUUGAAACUGUGGGUCUUGAGUGAUGGAGAGGC
rnacentral:rRNA from 1 species